UACGUAGGAGACGAGCGUUGUUCGGAAUUAUUGGGCGUAAAGGGCGCGUAGGCGGUGCGGUAAGUCACCUGUGAAAUCUCCUGGCUCAACUGGGAGCUUGCAGGCGAAACUGCCGUGCUGGAGUGUGGGAGAGGUGCGUGGAAUUCCUGGUGUAGCGGUGAAAUGCGUAGAUAUCAGGAGGAACACCUGUGGCGAAAGCGGCGCACUGGACCACAACUGACGCUGAGGCGCGAAAGCUAGGGGAGCAAACAGG
rnacentral:rRNA from 1 species